rnacentral:piRNA from 1 species
UGGAAAAGCCAACCUCUGCCCUGACCUGAGU